rnacentral:rRNA from 1 species
UUAAAUAGAGAGAUUCAGACCAUUCUAGAGUAUAAGGAUUAUAAUAAUAUCACUCGUUUAUUUCAUCUUGCUUGUAAAGCGGAACGUGAAGUGCAGGAUCGACAGGCAUUGGCGCGGACUAACUUUUCUGCAGGUCGACCUUCAUCAUGGACACCGCGUGCAUCCUCAACUUCCACACAUUCUACUGCACCGACACCUCCAUCAGCUAUUACCUCUAGUCGUGAUACAAGGAAGCAGGCACAACCACCAUUAUCUGCCAAGAGCACACCUAUCGGGCCUGCACAAAGUUCGUCUUCUUCCAUGGCAUCAACAGGGCACACCAGUGAUAUUAUUUGUCGUCGUUGUAAGGGAAGAGGACAUUUUGCGAGAGAAUGCAAAUCUCAGCGUGUGAUGAUUGCUACUGAGGAUGGUGGGUAUGAGUCCGCUAGUGACUAUGAUGAGGAGACUUUGGCUCUUAUUACACGUGAAGAACACGGUGGAGACGAUUCUGAUCAUGAGAUGCAAUACAUGGCUCCUGAA